rnacentral:rRNA from 1 species
AGAGUUUGAUCAUGGCUCAGAAUCAACGCUGGCGGCGUGCCUCGGACAUGCAAGUCGAACGCGAAAGUUUCCUUCGGGAGAUGAGUAGAGUGGCGCACGGGUGAGUAACACGUAGGUAAUCUACCUUUGGGUGGGGAAUAACGCAGGGAAACUUGCGCUAAUACCGCAUAAUGCAGCGGCACCACAUGGUGACAGUUGUUAAAGCGGGGGAUUUUCGGACCUCGCGCCUAAAGAGGAGCCUGCGGCAGAUUAGCUAGUUGGUAAGGUAACGGCUUACCAAGGCGACGAUCUGUAGCCAGCCUGAGAGGGCGGUCGGCCACACUGACACUGACAUACGGGUCAGACUCCUACGGGAGGCAGCAGUCGGGAAUUUUGGGCAAUGGGCGAAAGCCUGACCCAGCAACGCCGCGUGAAGGAUGAAAUCCCUCGGGAUGUAAACUUCGCAAGAAUAGGAAGAAUUAGUAGGGGUUAAUACCCUCUAUGAUGACGGUACUAUUUGUAAGCUCCGGCUAACUCCGUGCCAGCAGCCGCGGUAAUACGGGGGGAGCAAGCGUUGUUCGGAUUUACUGGGCGUAAAGGGCGCGUAGGCGGUCAGCACAAGUCAGUUGUGAAAUCUCCGGGCUUAACUCGGAAAGGUCAACUGAUACUGUGCGACUAGAGUGCAGAAGGGGCAACUGGAAUUCUCGGUGUAGCGGUGAAAUGCGUAGAUAUCGAGAGGAACACCUGCGGCGAAGGCGGGUUGCUGGGCUGACACUGACGCUGAUGCGCGAAAGCCAGGGGAGCGAACGGGAUUAGAUACCCCAGUAGUCC